rnacentral:pre_miRNA from 1 species
GGGAGGAACAACCCCACUGGCGGCGGCCAGCUCUCCAGCUCUGGAGUCAGCUCCUGCAGGAACCACUGGAGUCUCCCAGUCUGCAGGGGCCUGGAUGCUCCGGGGGUAG